rnacentral:rRNA from 1 species
AUUGAACGCUGGCGGCAUGCUUUACACAUGCAAGUCGAACGGUAACAGGGAGCUUGCUCCGCUGACGAGAGGCGAACGGGUGAGUAAUGCGUCGGAACGUGCCGAGUAGUGGGGGAUAACGCAGCGAAAGUUGUGCUAAUACCGCAUACGUACAGAGGUAGAAAGUGGGGGACCUUCGGUCCUCACGCUAUUCGAGCGGCCGACGUCUGAUUAGCUAGUAGGUGAGGUAAAGGCUCACCUAGGCGACAAUCAGUAGCGGGUCUGAGAGGAUGAUCCGCCACACGGGGACUGAGACACGGCCCAGACUCCUACGGGAGGCAGCAGUGGGGAAUUUUGGACAAUGGGCGAAAGCCUGAUCCAGCCAUGCCGCGUGUCUGAAGAAGGCCUUCGGGUUGUAAAGGACUUUUGUCGGGGAGGAAAUCCCCAGCGUUAAUACCGCUGGGGGAUGACAGUACCUGAAGAAUAAGCACCGGCUAACUACGUGCCAGCCGCCGCAGUAACAC